UCCGGUUUGACACCGGCGGUCCCCUUAGAGUCCCCGGCAUAACCCGCUGGUAACUAAGGGUAAAGGUUUCGCUCGUUAAGGGACUUAACCCGACAUCUCACGACACGAGCUGACGACAGCCAUGCAGCACCUGUACUAGUUGUACCCCUUGCGGGGCCUACCCGGCUUUCACCGGGAUAAUCCUAGCAUGUCAAGCCCAGGUAAGGUUCUGCGCGUUGCUUCGAAUUGAACCACAUGCUCCACCGCUUGUGUGAGCCCCCGUCAAUUCCUUUGAGUUUUAGCCUUGCGACCGUACUUCCCAGGCGGUCCACUUAACACUUUUGCUUCGACCACGACGCCGUCAAAGGCGCCGUAAUCUAGUGGACAUCGUUUAGGGCCAGGACUAC
rnacentral:misc_RNA from 1 species